CUCUUCCAAGCGGAAGAAGAAGGUGACAGGUUUCCUUUCAUGCCUUGUGCCUGGCUGUGCUUCGUAAAUUAUGCAACCAUUCAAGAUGCUUUUGUCAAGAGACUCUUUUUAUGUGAAGAAGAAGAAGAAGAAGAAGAAGAAAGUGGAACAGAGAUCUGUGCACAUUUUUGUUUCCUUGUUAGAAUGUUAAUUAGACCAAAUCAUGAAUGACUGUUAUUUGACCUU
rnacentral:misc_RNA from 1 species